AUUUAGGUAGCGCGUCGCGUGUUGACCAUCGGGGGUAGAGCACUGGAUGGGCUAGGGGGUCCCAACGACUUACCAAACCUAACCAAACUCCGAAUACCGAUGAGUUAAGCGCGGCAGACAGACUAUGGGUGCUAAGGUCCGUAGUCGAGAGGGAAACAGCCCAGACCUCCAGCUAAGGCCCCCAAGUGGCGGCUAAGUGGGAAAGGAUGUGGGAAGGCCAAGACAACCAGGAGUUUGGCUUAGAAGCAGCCAUC
rnacentral:rRNA from 14 species